rnacentral:tRNA from 1 species
CAAAGUGUAGCUUAUUUAAAGCACCUGGCUUACACCCAGAAGAUUCCAUAUAAUGAUGGCCACUUUGA